CGUUUGAUCCUGGCUCAGAGCGAACGCUGGCGGCAGGCCUAACACAUGCAAGUCGAGCGGCCGUAGCAAUACGGCAGCGGCAGACGGGAGAGUAACACGUGGGAACGCGCCCUUCGGUUCGGAAUAACUCAGGGAAACUUGGGCUAAUACCGGAUACGCCCUUACGGGGAAAGAUUUAUUGCCGAAGGAACGGCCCGCGUCCGAUUAGCUAGUUGGUGAGGUAACGGCUCACCAAGGCGACGAUCAGUAGCUGGUCUGAGAGGAUGACCAGCCUCACUGGGACUGAGACACGGCCCAGACUCCUACGGGAGGCAGCAGUGGGGAAUAUUGGACAAUGGGCGCUAGCCUGAUCCAGCCAUGCCGCGUGGAUGAUGAAGGCCCUAGGGUUGUAAAGUCCUUUCAGCGGGGAAGAUAAUGACGGUACCCGCAGAAGAAGUCCCGGCUAACUCCGUGCCAGCAGCCGCGGUAAUAA
rnacentral:rRNA from 1 species